CAUCAACCCAACAGGCUUUAUCGACUCUAGUCAAUCAAACGGUUCAAUUCUCCACUACUGAACCCACUGCUAUCAUCAGCCCAACCGACUUUAUCGACUCUAGUCAAUCAAACGUUCAAUUCUCCACUAAUGAACCAACUGCUAUCAUCAACCCAACAGACUUUAUCGACUCUAGUCAAUCAAACGGU